GUAGGGCGCAAGCGUUGUCCGGAAUUAUUGGGCGUAAAGAGCUCGUAGGCGGUCUGUCACGUCGGAUGUGAAAGCCCGGGGCUUAACCCCGGGUCUGCAUUCGAUACGGGCAGACUAGAGUGUGGUAGGGGAGAUCGGAAUUCCUGGUGUAGCGGUGAAAUGCGCAGAUAUCAGGAGGAACACCGGUGGCGAAGGCGGAUCUCUGGGCCAUUACUGACGCUGAGGAGCGAAAGCGUGGGGAGCGAACAGGAUUAGAUACCCUGGUAGUCCACGCCGUAAACGGUGGGAACUAGGUGUUGGCGACAUUCCACGUCGUCGGUGCCGCAGUAACGCAUUAAGUUCCCCGCCUGGGGAGUACGGCCGCAAGGCUA
rnacentral:rRNA from 1 species